rnacentral:misc_RNA from 1 species
ACGGAUGAAGGUGAUUACCAGGUUAAGCUUCGCAAUUUGCGUAAGUUCUUAGAAGCGGGUGAUAAAGCUAAAAUUACUAUUCGUUUCCGUGGUCGUGAAAUGGCUCACCAAGAAAUUGGUAUUGAAUUAUUAAAUCGUGUUAAAGCUGAUUUGGAAGAUGUUUCACAAGUUGAAUCUUUCCCAAAUCGUGUUGAAGGUCGCCAAAUGGUUAUGAUGAUGGCACCUAUUGCUAAAAAGCAAUAAACAAGCGAUAAUACGCACCGAAUUUAUCUCAGGUCAUCAAGUAACAGCUUGCUGUUCACCUGAAAUAACCGGUUUAAGUAAAGUUGCAGUGCAUUAGUACUGGGCUU